GUGGCCUCUUUUAAGCACACGGAGGCAUCUCCAAGCCGGCUUUGUGAAAAGCCAAGGACAUUUUUUCGGCAGAGACUCUGAGCUAGUUGCCACAUAAACAAACAGGAGUUCACUUUAGCUUCCUGGGCUUUUUUGGACUGACAGAAAGCGCUAAGGGGAAGACAGAAGCCAACAGGGCAGCCUGGGGCGACUGGAAGCUUGGGAGGAAGCAGUGGAUUGCUGCCACCAACUUGCUGCUCAGGGCGAGGCUGUGAAAGUGUGAGCCGUGAACAAACGUCUGGAAAAGCUCUCCGCUGGACAUUUUGCCCUUGGCACCAAAGGCAGCAUGAUGUCGGGCUGGAGAAUCUACCUUGGAUUCCUUCCUUGUAUUGGACUGCUGCUGGUUCAGUUUCAAUAACACGGAUAUAACGAACAGGGAGGUUGAGAUGUGUGCUUCAGAUCAGAGGUAAAAUGAAGAUGUAUGGGGCCAUGCCCAUGGAUCAACCCCGGCCCAACAGCCUGACGGAAUCUUGUUGACAGAUAGGUAGUAUGUCAACAGACACAUUUUGUGAAAUGGAAAUUGGAAGAAGCCUAAAACAACAGAAUAGAGGAUGGAAACCCAAGCUGCUUUUGCCAGAUGCGGCCCAUGCCUGGCAGUACACUCUGUUAUGAUUCCCAAUAGAGAUGAAAUGCAGUCUGAAGCCAGAGCAGAGAAAGACGGCUGAAAAUUCAUGUAAUAUUUGUAUCAAGUACGCCAUGAAUCAUGAAAUGCAACACUACUGCAGGGCUUCUUGAAGAAUCUGUACUCAGGAGUUAUUGACAUUUAUAUAAUCACGCGCUGCAAUGUGUUUUUCUGAAAAACAAACUUUACCUAGAGUUCUGAAAAUUAUCCGCAAUUUGUACGGAGGAAUUCAAACAUCAAAUUGGUACAUUAGCCACAUGGCAUGGGCCUCCAACUCCAGGACAGCAUGUUCCAUGAGACUCUCUGGAAAAUAAAAAAGCAUUUAAAAAACCUUUUAUUUAUUUUUUAUUGAAAACACCAUUUUUUAGGGCAAAAGGUCACUGGAUUGAACAUAGAUAAGCAAAUACCCCAAUUAAUAAAAUUACUUUCUCAAUA